rnacentral:rRNA from 1 species
UACGUAGGGGGCAAGCGUUGUCCGGAAUCAUUGGGCGUAAAGAGCGUGUAGGCGGCCCGGUAAGUCCGCUGUGAAAGUCCAGGGCUCAACCCUGGGAUGCCGGUGGAUACUGUCGGGCUCGAGUCCGGAAGAGGAGUGUGGAAUUCCUGGUGUAGCGGUGAAAUGCGUAGAUAUCGGGAGGAACACCUGAGGCGAAGGCGGGCUACUGGGCCGAUACUGACGCUGAGGCGCGAAAGCCAGGGGAGCAAACGGG